GGCUUUUGAUAAACAGUAGGCUAGGGGAGCGCGGGGCACAAAGUAACGCGGGGUUAAAUGUAACACGGACUUUUUCCCUAUUUGCAGGGGGUUGAUCGAGGCAUGCUAUUGUUCAGUUAAUCACA